UCAUUGUCACUCUAGUCUUUGUAGGGUUCCCGAAAGGACUUUCCUGGUGACUAGGAGCUUCCGCCCAUCUGAACUUCACUUCCUGUUUGCCUCAGACCUGCGAUAGUGGGCUGCUACAAUGUGCUAGAGAGUGAGGCAGCUGGGUGGGGGGUGGGCGUGGGUGGCAGGGACCAGUGGGACUGGGCGUGGUCACAGUUCAGGUCCUGUGAGGUGGACAAAUUAAUUCUCCUUGAGGGAUUCUCUUUCUAUUGCCAUUUUGAGAUUUGAGGGACAUUGUUUGCAGGCAGGGUCACACACGUACUCUGUCUUUCUAGGGAAGGCUGUUUGCUGCUCAGAGCUGACUAUUUGAUGGAAUGAGGUGUCAAUCCCACAGCCCCACCCACCCAGCCUUUCCAGCCCUAACACCUCCCAGAGAGCCCGAGGCCCUGGCACCUACUUUUAUGGAUAGCACAGAACACAAAUUGAAAACCAUGAGCUAUGAUCUUGAAGAGCUCUGCCAGCCUUAGGUUAGGAGAAGACUCCAAGCCUGCCGAGAUACAAAUGCUGAGGCUGUCGCUGACAAUCUCAGCGGACCUGACUCCUGCCCAGAGAUGGAGGAUAAAUCCAGCGAAAGAAGGAAAAGACCCGGACUCCUGCGGUAAUGAUGUGUCAGUGCGGCCUUUCGGGUCACGUGACUCAUCAGGACAGAGUGGGAGCUGAGUGACAGAUGAAAUGGCCGAGCAAACCCAAGGUCUGGACUGAUCUACAAGGCACAGCCUUAGGAGGUGCACCAUGCAGACAGAAGAACAAACUCCCAGCCGGGGCAGUUGCAGGGAGAACCCGCACAUUUACGAACGAUGAAGGACACUAGAGGAUCCAAAGUAAACGACCAAGAAACCAUCGAACCACCCAAACCUACAAAACGAGAGUCGGAGGGAGGGGGGAUAGGAGGAGCCUAGACCGGAAGCCAAUGGAAUCAUGGGUACUGUGGUCAGGCGUGAGCUGGAGAGCAUUGUUCUAAGGAAGGCAUCGGGAAGGGCUGAAGAUGCUGAGGAAUGCACAAGUGAGGCCCCAAGGGUCACAGCUGUCACAGCCUCUGAUGCUGCUCAUCGCGGCUUUGUCGCCUGACCGGAGGACCUCAAGAGCGCGCUCCUUACAUGCACCUGUGCGUGGUUUUGACAGCUGUGGAAGGCGCAUCUCCUUUCGACCCAACCUUUAACUUUUUGUUUCUGACCUUUUUGUUGUGCCUGUGGUGACAACAUGUGUUGCUUAAUGAGCCAUUUUAAAGUGCACACAGCUCAGGGGCAUGUAGUAUGUUCACCGUGUGUGCAGCCACCAAUUCUCUGGUUAUACAACAUUUUUUUUUUUUUAGAGACAAAAGACCCAACGUGAAGGACGUAAGGAGGAUUUAUUUUGACUCCUGGUUUUGGUGGUUUCAGAUCACAGUUCUUAUCUCUAUUAAUUCUGGACCAUGAACCUGAAAGGAAGGCAGAAGGCAGAGCACCUGGCUUCAGUGGAGAUGCGGGCAAAGCAGAUGGCUACAUGGUCAGCCUGGUGGAGAAGCUGGAGGUGAGUCCUGCCGUGAGGGCUCAGGAGUCUGCACAGAAGAGCUGGGCACACGGGCAUGAUUUGAACAGGGUCUCCAAGGGAGAAUGUAAAGGGGAGAAUUGUUCUGAGCAGGGCAUCUGUAUGUGCAAAGGCACUGAGCCACCACCGCUGUGGGUGUGGCACAUCUAGAACAUCUGGAGGGGAGAUCCCGCCAGUGUGCAUGAGGAAGAAAGGAAGCGACUGAGUUACAAGGUGGUACCCAAGAGAGGCAGCCUUCCACUGUGUACUGUGGGAUGAAGACAUUCCCUGACAGCCAGUGAGUGUCCAUAAGUGUCUGCCUCAUGGACCAUGCAUCCUGGGCCCUGCCGGGCUAUCCCUCUCAGCCACCCACCUGGUACUGCCCUCCUUCUCUGCCUUCUUGACCAGGUCAUGCGAUAUUGAUAAUGAGGAAGAGAGAAGGGGGUGGUUUCUGGGAGCGACCUAUGAGAACUGAGCCUAGUGGGCAGUGGCCUGGGCCUGGGGAUAUGGCAACUUCCUGAGCAGACUUGGCUUGCCCAGAAAGGGAUGGACCUGACUCAGCUCCGUUCUCACAGCCUCACCCCAGACAGGAACAAGCGCUGUGCUGUCUGUCACCUUUUAUUACAAAACCUUCUGAAAUUCUCCAAAUCGUCUCGCCGGUUAUCGUGUUCAACCACAGUGUGCUUGCAGGAGCCUCGAGCUGGAACCACAAGGCAGCCACAGUGCGUCGGGGACUUCUGUUCUGUGCCCAGGAGGGCCCCCCUCCUUUCUCCUCCCCAC